rnacentral:ncRNA from 1 species
GGGUGAGAGCCCCGUCCGGCCCGGACCCUGUCGCCCCACGAGGCGCGGUCGGCGAGUCGGGUUGUUUGGGAAUGCAGCCCAAAUCGGGCGGUAGACUCCGUCCAAGGCUAAAUACAGGCGAGAGACCGAUAGCGAACAAGUACCGCGAGGGAAAGAUGAAAAGGACUUUGAAAAGAGAGUCAAAGAGUGCUUGAAAUUGCGCGGAGGGAAGCGGAUGGGGGCCGGCGAUGCGCCCCGGCCGUAUGCUCAACGAGAACAGAACUCUCGUGAGGAACAAAAGG